rnacentral:rRNA from 1 species
UACGUAGGGUGCGAGCGUUGUCCGGAAUCACUGGGCGUAAAGGGUGCGUAGGCGGGUUUUUAAGUCAGAGGUGAAAUCCUGGAGCUCAACUCCAGAACUGCCUUUGAUACUGAAAGUCUUGAGUAUGGGAGAGGUGAGUGGAACUGCGAGUGUAGAGGUGAAAUUCGUAGAUAUUCGCAAGAACACCAGUGGCGAAGGCGGCUCACUGGCCCAUUACUGACGCUGAGGCACGAAAGCGUGGGGAGCAAACAGG